rnacentral:rRNA from 1 species
AAUAGAUACCCGGGUAGUCCACGCCGUAAACGAUGAGUGCUAAGUGUUAGAGGGUUUCCGCCCUUUAGUGCUGCAGCAAACGCAUUAAGCACUCCGCCUGGGGAGUACGGUCGCAAGACUGAAACUCAAAGGAAUUGACGGGGGCCCGCACAAGCGGUGGAGCAUGUGGUUUAAUUCGAAGCAACGCGAAGAACCUUACCAGGUCUUGACAUCCUUCGCUACUUCUAGAGAUAGAAGGUUCCCCUUCGGGGGACGGAGUGACAGGUGGUGCAUGGUUGUCGUCAGCUCGUGUCGUGAGAUGUUGGGUUAAGUCCCGCAACGAGCGCAACCCUUGACCUUAGUUGCCAGCAUUCAGUUGGGCACUCUAAGGUGACUGCCGGUGACAAACCGGAGGAAGGUGGGGAUGACGUCAAAUCAUCAUGCCCCUUAUGACCUGGGCUACACACGUGCUACAAUGGAUGGUACAAAGGGCUGCAAGACUGCGAAGUCAAGCCAAUCCCAUAAAACCAUUCUCAGUUCGGAUUGCAGGCUG